rnacentral:sRNA from 1 species
GUCUGCUCCUCCAGAUACUAUGCGGACAUUCGCCAGAGCUCUCCGGCGAGCUACCAGGAGAUGAACUCUGCUUUGGCUGAGCUCUCCGGGGUGAGGCAUGGCCCGGGGGGGUGCGCCUGUCCACACGUGGGUGGAAAGACUAGCAGAGCAGAGGGGGGAGACUUGGGGCUUGAGGACCAGGCUGGGACCUCACUGCCCCCCUCCACGUGGUGCCCCCAGAACUACACUUCUGCUCCCCACUGUCUGGAGGCUCUGCAAGAACUCUACAACCACAUCCACAGGUACUAUGAUCAGAUUAUCAGUGCCCUGGAGGAGGACCCUGUGGGCCAGAAGCUGCAGCUGGCCUGCCGCCUGCAGCAGGUCGCCGCCCUGGUGGAAAACAAAGUGACUGACCUGUGAGCUCUGGCUCAGACAGCAGCAAGCCAGAUCCACCAACACCGCAGUGCCUUAUGACCCCGGAACCGAGCCAGCCACUGAGGGGAGCUGGCAGAGCCUGGGGGCACAGGGUGCAAAGCCAGGCACUGUGCCCAGCAGUGGGCUCCCUGCCUGCCACCUCCCCUGCCAGCCCACCCAUCUUCCCCCCACCUAAGAUUGUUUCUAAUUUAUAAGGAUCCCCCUCCUUCCCCCUCUCCCCAUUGUAUUUAUUUGCCUGCUGGAAAAUCACAUCCGGAAAUAAAAUAGAAAUAUGUCUUUUUAUUUU